UUUCCUGCCACCGAAUACAUUAGCAUGGGAUAAUGGAAUAGGACCCUGACCUCCUAUUUUCAGUUGGUUUUGUUUACAGCGAGGUUAUAUCAGGGUAAUGAUUAAUAGGGAUAGUUGGGGGCAUUAAUAUUUAAUUGUCAGAGGUGAAAUUCUUGGAUUUAUGAAAGAUUAACUUCUGCGAAAGCGUUUGCCAAGGAUGUUUUCAUUAAUCAAGAACGAAAGUUAGGGGAUCGAAGACGAUCAGAUACCGUCGUAGUCUUAACCAUAAACGAUGCCGACCAGCGAUUAGGAGACGUUGAAUACAAAACACCGCCGUUAAUCCUUUCGGGGGUUAAUGGUUGGUGAAUGACUCCCCUAGC
rnacentral:rRNA from 1 species